rnacentral:ncRNA from 1 species
AAAGAAGACCCUGUUAAGCUUGACUCUAGUCUGGCAUUGUAAGGAGACAUGAGAGGUGUAGCAUAAGUGGGAGAUGGCAACAUCGACGGUGAAAUACCACUACUUUCAUCGUUUCUUUACUUACUCGGUGAGGCGGAACGCGUGCGUCGUUCGCUCACGAGCGGCGACUGUCACGGUGUUCUUGAGCCAAGCGCGCAGAGUGGCGUUCCGGACUUCGCGUCCGUGUUGUUUCGUUCGUCCGUUCGCGCGGACGUUACGUGCGACAUUGUGGUGUGUUGUUACGGGCGCCGAUAUACGCUCCCGCGUGAUCCGAUUCGAGGACACUGCCAGGCGGGGAGUUUGAUUGAGGCGGUACAUCUGUCAAAGAAUAACGCAGGUGUCCUAAGGCCAGCUCAGCGAGGACAGAAACCUCGCGUAGAGCAAAAGGGCAAAAGCUGGCUUGAUCCCGAUAUUCAGUACGCAAUUAUUAAAAUAAUUCUAAAACUUUUUCUAUGAUUAUACCAAUUUGUACAGUAAUAAAUAAUAAUAGAUAAAACAAAUAAUAAUUAAAUUAAAAAAGAAAAUAGGUAUGUUUUAC